AAAAAUUCAGAAUUCUUCUCUAAUGGUGGAUUCAAAGAGGACUACAAGAGGUAUUCCAUUUAAUGAUUGAUUUUUCAGCAAUUUUUUUGUCUUUUGAUCUUUGCAUCACUCAAGGACAAGUCGAUAACGUAGGAUCGACGACAAGAAUGGUGGAAGAAAGCAGAUCUAAGCAUCUACAUGACCCUAUUCGCAUGCAAAAUCUUCCUCAAUUACAUUAUAUAAUUAUUAUCAAUAGCAAGG
rnacentral:lncRNA from 1 species